UGCGCAGGCGGUUUUGUAAGUCUGAUGUGAAAUCCCCGGGCUCAACCUGGGAAUUGCAUUGGAGACUGCAAGGCUAGAAUCUGGCAGAGGGGGGUAGAAGUUCCACGUGUAGCAGUGAAAUGCGUAGAUAUGUGGAGGAAUACCGAUGGCGAAGGCAGCCCCCUGGGACUAACACUGACGCUCAUGCACGAAAGCGUGGGGAGCAAACA
rnacentral:rRNA from 1 species